AACGAACGCUGGCGGCAUGCCUAACACAUGCAAGUCGAACGAGACCUUCGUGUCUAGUUGCGCACGGGUGCGUAACGCGUGGGAACCUGCCCUUAGGUUCGGAAUAACUCCCCGACAGGGGUGCUAAUACCGGAUAAUGUCUUCUGACCAAAGAUUUAUCGCCUUUGGGUGGGCCCGCGUUGGACUAGCUAGUUGGUAGGGUAAAAGCCUAUCAAGGCGACGAUCCAUAGCUGGUCCGAGAGGAUGAUCAGCCACACUGCGACUGGGACAAGGCCCAAACUCUGACGGAAGGCAGCAGGGGUGAAUAUUGGACAAUGGGCGAGAGACUGAGGCAGCAGGGCCGCGAAAGUGAUGAAGGGCGUAGGAUUGUAAAGCUCUUUUACCCGGGAUGAUAAUGACAGAACCGGAAGAAUAAGCCCCGGCAACUUCCGU
rnacentral:rRNA from 1 species